AACGGGAGCUAGCUCACAUUCGCUAGCAUCCAUGCCUUGCCUCGGUGCCGCUCACCUGAUAUCAGGACACAAACGAAUCAAUGAAAACUUGUGACGUCUGGCGAUGCUGGUGAUCUGAGGUCGGUUGUUUAAAAGCUCCCAAGCGCCCUCUGGAGUUCAGAGUAGUUCAUCACAAAUCAACCGGGAACGACAAGGAUCUGCACGAAGAAUGUCUCCAACGACAGGAGAGGGAACAGAGGGUGAGAGCGGAGGCCAGAGAGGAGGAGGAAAAAGAGGAGUGAAAUCAGCCUUUGCCCUGCAGUUUGGUAUGACACUCAUUAUCUGAAGUGGGCCAUUCUGAGGAAGGAGGAGGUUGCCUGUCACAACAGAUGUUGAUUACACAAAACGGGGUAGUUUGGAAGGAUGCGUGAAUAAAACACGAGCGGCCACACACACCCACCCACACACACACACACAACC